rnacentral:rRNA from 1 species
CCUCUCCAAUCUCUAGUUGGCAUAGUUUAUGGUUAAGACUACGACGGUAUCUGAUCGUCUUCGAUCCCCUAACUUUCGUUCUUGAUUAAUGAAAACAUCCUUGGCAAAUGCUUUCGCAUUAGUUUGUCUUUAACAAAUCUAAGAAUUUCACCUCUGACUGUUAAAUACAAAUGCCCCCAACUGUCCCUAUUAAUCAUUAUUCUUAUCUUAGAACCAAUAAAAAAGAUAAAAAUCUUUAAUAUUAUUCCAUGCUGGAGUAUUCAAGGCAUAUGCCUGCUUUAAGCACUCUAAUUUUCUCAAAGUAAAAUUUCAUAUACUAAAAAAAAAAAUAG